UACGGGGGGAGCAAGCGUUGUUCGGAUUUACUGGGCGUAAAGGGCGCGUAGGCGGCACUGCAAGUCAGUUGUGAAAUCUCCGGGCUUAACCCGGAAAGGUCAACUGAUACUGCAGGGCUAGAGUGCAGAAGGGGCAACUGGAAUUCUCGGUGUAGCGGUGAAAUGCGUAGAUAUCGAGAGGAACACCUGCGGCGAAGGCGGGUUGCUGGGCUGACACUGACGCUGAGGCGCGAAAGCCAGGCGAGCGAACGGG
rnacentral:rRNA from 1 species